rnacentral:rRNA from 1 species
UACGGGGGGGGCAAGCGUUGUUCGGAAUUACUGGGCGUAAAGCGCACGUAGGCGGCUUACUAAGUCAGGGGUGAAAUCCUGGAGCUCAACUCCAGAACUGCCUUUGAUACUGGUGAGCUUGAGUCCGGAAGAGGUGAGUGGAACUGCGAGUGUAGAGGUGAAAUUCGUAGAUAUUCGCAAGAACACCAGUGGCGAAGGCGGCUCACUGGUCCGGUACUGACGCUGAGGUGCGAAAGCGUGGGGAGCAAACAGG